rnacentral:rRNA from 1 species
UUAAAGCGGCACGCGAGCUGGGUUCAGAACGUCGUGAGACAGUUUGGUCUCUAUCCUCUGCGCUCGUUGGAAUCCUGAGGAGGCCUGCCCAUAGUACGAGAGGACCUGGGUGGACGGACCUCUGGUAUGCCGGUUGUCGCGCCAGCGGCAUGGCCGGUUGGCUACGUUCGGGAGGGAUAACCGCUGAAAGCAUCUAAGCGGGAAGCCUGCUCCAAGAUUAGGAUUCCUUGACGCUCCCCGGAGCGCCUGUAGCCCGCAUGUUGAACACGUGUUCGAUAGGCCGGAGGUGGAAGUCCCGCGAGGGGUGGAGCCGACCGGUACUAACGGGCGAACGCGGCA